rnacentral:lncRNA from 1 species
CAUCUCACUGGAAGAGCUGCUAAGUUUUCCUCACUGCAUGAAAUGUUUGCCCUUGAAUUUAGAUAGCUAGAACUUGCUAUCUAAGUAAAGAUUCAUUUUUUUCCCCUGACGGAAGUUCCUAGAGUUUUAGAGAAAUACAUAUCUUAGUUUUUGGCAAAAAGCACUUUAUUGUCUUUUGCUAUAUAUGUGUGUGCCUCCAAAAAUAAACACAAAAGUCUCUGCUUGGCAUCCAAAGGUCUUCAGAAACUAGGCCACUGGUACCUUUUCAGUCUUCUCACACAUCACCCCCAGACAGAUUAUCUUUGAUAUAGUGGCACAACACCUUCCAUCUCUUGGCUCUGGGCAUUUUCUCUGGCUGUCCCACAGGUCUUGAAUGUUCUCUCUCCUCAUUUCUGACUCUGGCCCUCCAAGUCUUCUUUUAAAUCCCAACUUUUGAUUGAUUCGUUGAUUGAGAGAUUUGGAGUUAAGGGAUCAUCUAGUGGUAGAAAGGAAAUGUAACAGUCUCUGAAAGAGAAUGACUAGAAUGGGCUGGACAGGGGGUAGUGAAGAGGGAGAGAAUACACACAAGGGUUAAGCCUUGUCUUCCCCAUCACCUCAUUCCCAUGUCUUGCCCAAGGUAUGUCUUGUAAACUUCCUGUCUUCCCAUAAGUCUCCUAGUGAUAUACCAAGAUCAGCUGAUGAUGGUGUCUGUCUUAAGAGCCAAUGACAGACUGGAUACAGAUAUAGAAUUCCCCAAAGCAAUAAAACUACUCUGCACCUAAGGAAUUUCCAAGAUCUUCCAAGAAUUUUUAUUCUGUUUUUCCUCUUUUCUGCUCUUGAUGAUAGAAAAUUCACAGCCCAGGUCUGCCCAGAAUCCAGGAGCCUUUCCUGGCUGAUGCAGAGAAGACAUAGUUAUGAGAUUGUGAUGGCUCCAUGUGAGAUUCAGAAGAAUGGGGUGUGGUCACAUAAGCCCUCAGUCCCUAGGAUAAGGAAAUCUGCAUGGGGCAACCCUAAGGGAACCACUUCGAGGCCUUUGGGGUUCAAUUGCUAGAGUUUCUC